rnacentral:tRNA from 5 species
GGGUCUGUGGUCUAGCGGUUAUGACACCGCCUUUACACGGCGUUGAUCGAGGGUUCAAAUCCCUCCAGACCCACCA